rnacentral:rRNA from 1 species
UACAGAGGUCUCAAGCGUUGUUCGGAUUCAUUGGGCGUAAAGGGUGCGUAGGCGGCGCGGUAAGUCGGGUGUGAAAUCUCGGAGCUUAACUCCGAAACUGCAUUCGAUACUGCCGUGCUUGAGGACUGGAGAGGAGACUGGAAUUUACGGUGUAGCGGUGAAAUGCGCAGAUAUCAGGAAGAACACCCGUGGCGAAGGCGGCUCUCUGGGACGGUACUGACGGCUGAGACGCGAAAGCGUGGGGAGCGAACAGG